UACGUAGGGGGCUAGCGUUGUCCGGAAUCAUUGGGCGUAAAGAGCGUGUAGGCGGCCCGGUAAGUCCGCUGUGAAAGUCGGGGGCUCAACCCUCGAAUGCCGGUGGAUACUGUCGGGCUAGAGUCCGGAAGAGGAGAGUGGAAUUCCUGGUGUAGCGGUGAAAUGCGCAGAUAUCAGGAAGAACACCAAUGGCGAAAGCAGCUCUCUGGGACGGUACUGACGCUG
rnacentral:rRNA from 1 species